rnacentral:rRNA from 1 species
GACAGAGGUGCCAAGCGUUAGGCGGAAUCACUGGGCUUAAAGCGUGUGUAGGCGGAUCGUUAAGUACCUUGUGAAAUCCCACGGCUCAACCGUGGAACUGCUGGGUAUACUGGCGAUCUUGAGCCACCUAGGGGCGAGCGGAACAAGCGGUGGGGCGGUGAAAUGCGUAGAUAUCGCUUGGAACGCCAACGGUGAAAACAGCUCGCUGGGGGUGUGCUGACGCUGAGACACGAAAGCCAGGGGAGCGAACGGG